rnacentral:rRNA from 1 species
GCUUACGGCCAUACCAGCCUGGGUACGCCCGAUCUCGUUUGAUCUCGGAAGCUAAGCAGGGGCGGGCCUGGUUAGUACUUGGAUGGGAGACCGCCUGGGAAUACCAGGUGCUGUAAGCA